UUGCUCCCUGAUUCAGCGGCGGACGGGUGAGUAAUGCCUAGGAAUCUGCCUAUUAGUGGGGGACAACGUUUCGAAAGGAACGCUAAUACCGCAUACGUCCUACGGGAGAAAGCAGGGGACCUUCGGGCCUUGCGCUAAUAGAUGAGCCUAGGUCGGAUUAGCUAGUUGGUGGGGUAAAGGCUCACCAAGGCGACGAUCCGUAACUGGUCUGAGAGGAUGAUCAGUCACACUGGAACUGAGACACGGUCCAGACUCCUACGGGAGGCAGCAGUGGGGAAUAUUGGACAAUGGGCGAAAGCCUGAUCCAGCCAUGCCGCGUGUGUGAAGAAGGUCUUCGGAUUGUAAAGCACUUUAAGUUGGGAGGAAGGGUUGUAGAUUAAUACUCUGCAAUUUUGACGUUACCGACAGAAUAAGCACCGGCUAACUCUGUGCCAGCAGCCGCGGUAAUACAGAGGGUGCAAGCGUUAAUCGGAAUUACUGGGCGUAAAGCGCGCGUAGGUGGUUUGUUAAGUUGGAUGUGAAAGCCCCGGGCUCAACCUGGGAACUGCAUCCAAAACUGGCAAGCUAGAGUACGGUAGAGGGUGGUGGAAUUUCCUGUGUAGCGGUGAAAUGCGUAGAUAUAGGAAGGAACACCAGUGGCGAAGGCGACCACCUGGACUGAUACUGACACUGAGGUGCGAAAGCGUGGGGAGCAAACAGGAUUAGA
rnacentral:rRNA from 1 species